ACAGGUUUUGUUACAGUACCAAGUGUCCCAGACAAACAACUUAACCAGAGGAAUCAGUUACUAUGUUCUGGUUUAUGGUUUCAACAAUUCCGCCUGUGGUGGCGGGAGCCUGUGGCAGAGGAGACUUCCCUCCCAUGGCUCCCAAGAAACAGAGCAGAUAGGUGACUAUGACCCAGGCAGUUUUCAAAGGCCCCCAGCACCACAUUUUCUCCUGCUGAACCCACCUCCCAAACUGGUUCCACCACCUGGGGGGCACCUUCAACAGAGGAAUGGAUACAGAAAAUGUGGUACAUCUACACAAUGGAGUACUAGUCAGCUAUCAAAAACAAAGACUCCGUGACAUUCAUAAGCAAAUGGACAGAGCUAGAAAAUGUCAUCCUGAGUGAGAUAACCCAACCUCACAAGAACACACAUGGUAUGCACUUACUGAUAAAUGGGUAUUAGCCCAAAAGCUCGAAUUACCCAAGAUACAAUCCACGGACCACAUGAAGUUCAAGAAGAAGGAUAACCGAAGUGUGGAUGCUUCAGUCCUUCUAAAAAGGGGGAACAAAAAUAUUCAUAGGAGGAGAUAUGGGGACAAAGUUUGGAGCAAAGAUUGAAGGAAAGGCCAUUCAGAACCUGCCCCAC
rnacentral:lncRNA from 1 species